GAGAUAUAAUUGCUCUCUAUAAAUACAUCAGAGGGAUACAUACAAGGGAGGGAGAGGAGUUAUUUAAGUUAAGUGCCAGUAUGGACACAAGACCAAAUGGAUGUAAAGUGGCCAUCAAGAAGUUUAAGCUCAAAAUUAGGCGAAGAUUUCUAACCGUCAGAGGAGUGAAGUUCUGGAACAGCCUUACAAGGGGAGCAGGGGGGUAAAAAACCUAAUUGGCUUCAAAAUUGCGCUGGAUAAGUUUCAGCAGUGGAAGGUUUGAUACCAU